CAAUCAAGUGAAAUUGCGCAAACAAUGAAAUCUAGCUGCUAGUACCCAAUUUUGAGCAUUGACUUUCUACUUGACAUUUUCAAUGAAAAACUAGGAAAACCCACGAUAGCGAUGGAAAUGCUGCAUGAGAGGAUCUUCGCUACACCACAGUCACCACACAGUGCAAUAGAGGCGGGGAAAGAAACUGGAAAUUCGAAAAUGUUCAACUUCAAGAUGCCUUUGGGCUAAAGCGAUGAAUCAGGGUGACGGUAGGUAUUAUAAAAAUGAACGUGUGAAGUGGAAGUAAACCAGUUACGUUGGUGCCUUCAAACUGACUCCAUCGUCGGCAACAUAUUGCAUCGGCAACAUAUUGCAUAUUCGGCUGUCAAUCAUGCGGGACUACGAUGUCAUGCUGCUGUUUGCUUUUGCCAUUUUGAUGGCUACAUCGGCGGGUACCGAUGGGUUUGUCCUCAUCUGGACACUAGACUACACAACCCCUACGCCCUACUACACCACCUCGUAUGCUGCUCCCUCUUACAGCACCAAGGCUCUCGAAUAUUAUACCACAUAUGCAGCUCCCAGCUACUACACCGAGUCUUCCAACUACUUAAUACACGACCAGAACGCCCAAAUACUACACGACCAUAUACUCCGCUCCAACAUACUACACUCAAGCCAUUAAAUACUAUGCUGCUCAAAGGGGGAAAAUAUAACUUUUUGUUCGAAACUGUGGCUAUUGAAAUAAUGCAGGGAAACUUAUGAAGACAAAACCAAAAUCAUGUCUUGAGUUCUUUGAGAUUCACUUGAACUUAACACCAGAGAAGGACCUGCCUUUGAUCAGAAACAGAACUGGUGAUAUCCAUAACAAAAUAAACUGUGAACUUUUACUAUUAAAAAUGGAGAAGUUGUGCAAUGUAAGACCACACUCAAGACACAAUUAAAUAGGAGUGAACGUGAACGUGAAAAAUAGAAUGUGUUUUUAUUCUGUAUCAAAUAAAGCUAAUGAAAA